rnacentral:lncRNA from 1 species
AAAUGGUUAAAAAGGAGGGUGGUGAGAUUAUAAAAUCUCAGUGAGUAAACAGAUACCAUCUAAACCAUCUAAAAUCGAGUAAAUGGAGACAAUUAAAAUAAGUCAUCAUACUGUAAUUUCAUUACCUUUCAACUCAUUUCAACCAAAUAAAAUCAAUUCAUAUAAAUUGAGUAACCAACAUGGCUUAUGAAUUUCUUAAAACUUUGGCUCGUCCCAAAACUCGUACUCGAGGAUACCUUGCGUCAGGCAUCCAACCGAGUCCGCCAAGGCUGUUAAAAAGUUAUAUAAGCAUAAUCAUGUUUUUAUUUAGAAAACAUAGCCGUUCCUUGACGUUGGCUGAGUUCUCUCUCACGUGAUGGUUUAGUGUGAAGUGAACCCUAAACUUUACCUCAGAAGAUACCCUACGCGCCUCUCCGAUUGAGGUAAGAAUAUGAUGGGGUUUAUCGUGCCCCUCUAAAAGGCUGGUCCACAGAAACCCCCUACUGUAGUGACUAAUUAAUAUAUAAUCCACCAAUUCAAUAAAAUUUGCAAUAGCAUGACAUGGCAAUUAUUUUAUUUUACAGCCUCUCAAGGUAAAUCAACAAUUCAUACAUAUUUAGCACAUUUGCCAAUUCAACCAUUCAUGCCAAUAUUAUCAUAAGCUAUUUCAUUGGAGCCAUAAUUUCACAAUACAUCAAAUGGUCUCCAAUUACUCUAUUUUCAAAGCCAUCAUUCAAUUUCUAGAUAAUUUUAUAAAAUCAUUUCAUUUAAUCACAUUUUUGUUUAUAAAACAUAAAGAUUUAUCAUUUAACCUCACUUUUCAUAAAAUCACAAAAUUAGAUAAAAACGACUUUAGAUAAUUAAGAUGAUAGUAAGGUUACUCACUGUACUAAGAGUUCGAUAUACUCCUAUUCUCGAUCUUCGGGCACAAUCUCUUUACCCUUGUUAGAGGGCUCACCACCUAUACAUCAUACUUGACAUGAAUUUCAAUAAAUUGUGUCAAUUUAUCAUAAACUAUUUCAGGCUCUAUAAAUCUAUAUGAAUACACGAAAUGUGAUGCAAAAUGUCUGAAUAGUCGUUUAAAUACGGUAUUCGACCUAAUUCGUACUAUUCUCAACGUAAUUUGGCUAAAACCUCCAAUUUAACUCCAAAUCUAUUUCUUUCACUUUCUACACUCCAAUUAUACUUAAAAUACCUCAAUGACUGUGAAUAUGAUUCAAUUUAUCAGUACGAACCAUAAAUCGCACAUGUCUAUACAUUAGGUAAAAAUUCAGAUUUUCAUGCCAAAAUUUCCCAUUAAAUUUCUAGCCUCACCAAUCAUUAAAUACCACCAAAAUAUCAUGAAAUAUCAUCAAUUUCAGCCUCAAUAUCCUCCCUAGAAAAUUCGGCCUCUUGUGGGUUUGUGAAGAACAAAGUGAUUCCUUGCUAGAUUUUCAUACUUUCCAUUACCAAACAACCAAAAACACUUAAUUAGCUUGAAAUCUAGCAAAAUCAAUGCUCAAAACCUCUCCUCUCAAAUUCGGCCAGCAUGGGUUCAUCAUGCAAACUUGAGUUCUAAGCAUGGAAAAUGAAAAAGAAAGCAUGGGUAGUGUAAAUCACAAGAUAAAAUCACAAAAUUUUACCUUUAUUAGCUUAAUCCCUUGAAAUCCCACACUUUUUCUUCAAUUUUCCCACCUAGGGUUUGUGUUCUUUCCUUUCCUCUUCACUUCAUGCUUUGGCCGGCCAUAUGGGUGAGACUAAGAGAGUUUUAAAUAGAUUUUACAAGGAAAUUCUAGAAUAAUCCAAGCUUGACACAUGGCAUGUUUCCAUUGGUCCAUGUGUAAUACUUAUCCAUUAAGCAAUCUCUCUCCACCACAUAAAAUGUUUCAAUUAUCCACAAUGUAAAAUGUUAAUGGCUGAAAUCCAUGGGCAUGACAAGUGUUAGGUGGUGUAAAAUUCCAAAAUUCCAACUUUGCCCCCGUAAACUCAUAAAAUUACCGUUUUGCCCCUAGGACUCCAAAAAUGUCAGAAUUUAAAUUUUUCACCUCUCAAACUCAAAUCAUACUCCAAUGAGUCAAAUGUGAUCAAAAUCUUUUCUAACAAUUUCCAUUUUAUCCUCGGGUGACAAAAUUACCAUUUUGCCCCUAGGACAUGAAAAUUCCAAAUUGACUCCAAUUCAGCCCUCGAACUCCAAAUAAUCAUUUUAAGUCAUUCUGGGAUUUUAAAAUUCUCAAUUUCAUCUUAAGAUCUCUAUUUAGACUAGUUCGAUGCUUAAUUCAACUUAAUAGUACCAUUUGGUAUAAUAUCGACUUUUGAUGAUUUUUUGGGGCUUUCCAAGCAUGCUAGCAUAUUGUCAAUCACAUGAAGGACAUGGCAAGUACUUUAUAAGGUCGGGCUUGACAGCACUACCCCCUUAAAAUAAAAUUUUAACCUCAAAAUUUCAUUUACUGAACUAAGAGAAAAUGUGGGGUAUUGUCUUCUUAUCUGAUGUUUAACUUCCCAUGUCAUCUCUUCCAUUCAAGCAUUCAUCCACAAUACUUUAACCAUUGGGAUGCUCUUAUUCAUUCCUCUACGUAUCCUCAUAUUUAUGUUUACCUCACAUUUAUGUAGCUUCAAUCUUCUUAAUCAUAUUAGUCCAUCGCGUACGGCUUAACCGCGUUAUAGAUUACAUUUCCUUGAUACCAUUUCCUUAACUAUCUCCCAAAGUCUCUUAUGUCCACGCAACUCAGCCUCUAAUGGGAUUUCUUAUCAUUACGCUACCUUUAUCACUUGUCAACAAUCAAUAAUUCCCACUACAGAAUACUCUUUCCACAUUACAACUGUAUCCAAAUCAAUUUUUCUCCUAAAGGGGUGUGCACUACAAUUCCUAUUCAAGCAUUUCAUAAGACAUAAGGAUCAAACACUCUUUAUUUAUCCAUAUAUAUAUAUUUAACAUCACAGAUAAUUCAAAUUUGAUAACCAUUAGUAACCAUAUUCUCAAAAAGAAAACUCCAGUACUUUCAUGAUCGAGUACUUAUUAAGUAGAUCUCGUCUAUUACCAUGAUAUAUUUAAAUAAAUAAACCUACUUUUGGAUGUAUCCUUAUGGACUUAAUCAAUCCUUAUAAUUCCUAGGUCAUAACCAACUUGUUAGUUAUACGUCACAUACAAACAUAUCUAACUUGUGAUUCCUCAAAUUUUACUCCAAACACUAGAUCUCAUGGCCUCAUUAGUUUAUCAAUCUGAAAAUGAAAAUAAACAUUUAUCUCCCCUCAAGUACACUUUAAAAUCAAAGUAUCAUUUAUCAAGAUAUUUCUGGUAUCAACUUCCUUCAGCCCUUUUUACCUUAAAAGAUUAAAUCCAUAAUCAUCCAUUUUGAGUCAUGGGCUUAUGCAAAUCAAGGUAAAUUUUCACACUUUCGAUUACAUGAAUUCGAUUGCACAUAUUCCAUUCUCAUAUGAGAGUUAACCACUAGUUGGCAUCAUCCCCAAACAACACGUAUUAUAUAAAUCAAAUUUUUAUAGUCAAAGUUCAUAUUGGAGUAAUUCAACCCUAUGUCAUAUCUCAUCACCAAACCUUUACUUGCACAUGAGUACUUCAAUUUUUGAAUCAUCAUUUCUUUUCUAAGUAGAUCUUUACAGUCCCCGUAGCGUAUUUCUAUUCCCUUAUACAUAAUAGUGUCAUUUAAUCAAACUGUAUCACCCUCAUUUUCUAAACAUUCGAAACACAAUUCAACCUUUGCCUACCAUUAUCAAGUUCUUUUCCUUGAUAAUUACUUAAAAAUAAAUUGAAACUUGUGGGGAAGUACAUUUCACAAUUUAUGUUUUGCGUCUACAAUUAUGUCGAGACCAGAACCUCAUCGGGUCCAUAAAACAGUAGGAUAAUCAUUGCCUCGAACUAGUAUUGCCAAGUAUACUUAUGCUUGUAUCCCAUCCUCAUACUUAUGUGACAUGUCAGUCAUGAGUGUAACUUGACUGUAUAGCCAUUUGCUCCUUAAGCUUUAAUGUUUUCUCAUUGCGAAAAGUCUUUCGAAUUUAUCACAUCAGAGUAUUCAUAAGGUGGAUACAUAUCCAUAUUUUAUAGUUCAAGGUCUAACGCAGCGAACGCUGUCUCAUCAUUAAAGUUCUACCGUUAUCUAUCAAUCAUAGAUCCUUUGCACACUUACCUAUACAUUCCUGGCUUACUUACAAGCCAUUCAUGGCCAUCCAACUUUUGACCUCUUAUAGUAAGUCAAACUAAUGUAUUCUCUUAUGCUUUUCCAUACGCUUCCUUUAAUAAAGUUCCAUUGAGAACUUAAACAAUCCAAGGCUUAUCUUCAAAGUCACUCAUAACCUUUGUCAUUCAUUGCAUGCCCAAGAUAACACUUUAGCUCACUAACCCCACUGGACAUUAUUUCAAAAUCUCCCAUGGCGUCCAUGUUCUUAAUUUGGAUCAUACCAUCUAACUUAAUAUAAUUGCAUUAAUUAUACUUAAGUCCUUAUGCUCAGCCUAUCAACAUCCAUAUCUCCCCCUCCUUUAUGUUAUUGGCUUUGUUAAAGUAUAUGUGGCUUUUUAGCCUUUCACACUACAUUCUACAUUUAUGUCAAGGCACUCUCAAUUUCAUGUCAAACCUAUUGUCAUGUAACCAUAAAUUAGAGUAAGCUCCCCUAUGAAAUAUCUCCUUCCAUAUGAUGCAUAGGGAUCACAAGAUGUAUAACUCCAAGUGUAUGCAUACAUAUUGAUAAUCUCCAUAUAUUUCAUGAUCAUGGAAACCACAAUUUUGAAAACUAUCUUUUUAUCGCAAGUUUGCGAUCGGACCAUUAAUCUCCACAUAUACGUAUACACGCAAAUUCAAAUGUCCAUAUUCCUCAUUAUGUAUACGGGUCUCUGUUUUCAAAUGUCUUUAGACUAAUUUCUCUUUAUAUCCACAUAAUCGACCUUGUGUUGUUACUAGCCCCUUUUUAUUCAACUAAGUCGAGACAAGAAUUAUAAAUUCUCAUAGCAACACUUUACAUUAACUCAUUUACCAUACCACACUUGUAAUUCGUUAUUCAUACUUCAUCACUUAACAUUGAUAUUCCUCAUCGAUAUCUCAUACCUUCAUCUUUCUUUACACUUAUAUUCAUAAUCCUCAUAGAAUCAAAAAUCCAUUAUAAGCAUCACUUAUAUCCUUUCAAAUUUGUAGCUGCAACUGAAAUUUCAAAUUUCACCUUUUCCAUAAGAAAUUUUGAAGUCACUGAUCAGGUAUCGUAGUUACUCGUACCAUUGAUGAAUUUCUACGGCAAUUCUCAGUAAUUAUAUAAGGCAACUAAUCACACCGCUAAGGUGAAUACCCCUCCUCAAUGAUUAUACCACUAAUCCACUUUUGUCCUACCAAAAAGGUUCCCAUAUACAUAUAUCCAGUCAUUAAACAACUACUUCAUUCACAUUAUAUAAAAUAAAAGUCAACUCUUAAUUCCUUUAUACAAGUAGUUACUAUUUCCUUUAUACUACAUCUAUCUAGAGUUAAAGUAGUACAACUUCAACAAAACACUAAGUAUCUUUAGGGUCAUCAUCACCCUGAUCCUCUUUCGGAUUCUCUUGGAGCUUUCUUUUUUUUUUUUUGUUCUUCAAUCCGAGCCUGUUGGAUUUUCCUACAUUCCUCAAUUUCUUUCAAGAUGAAAUUUCUUAUGCCUUCAUUAACGUCGUUACUAUCAACACUUUCAUCAGUCUCACUAGUACUACUGUUAUAUCUGAACCUUCGCUCCCAAAUCCGAUGGAGUCCAAUUAAUAGGAACUCUAAACGGAUAUCUUUCUAGAUUACUGAGUUCAGAACGGCAUCGGCUUUCUGUUGAUCCCUCACUAGUACAAUGUGAGGUAUCGAAAUCACUGUCUCUCCUAGGCAUAGUAAGUGCAAUCCGCGCACCACAACCUAUACGUAACGAAAUGGUAAUUUCUUGAUUAUUUAUAUCCCACAAUGAUAGGUAGGUUUCUAUAUGCAGAUGUAUCUAUCCAACAAAAUCUAAUCUAACCUAACUUAACUUGGGGCCACACUAACACUGUAGUUUUUUUUUAAAAAAAAACAACUUUAAAACCAAAUGUUCUGACCUUUAAAACCAAAUGCUUUGAUACCACUCGAAUUGUCAUGACCUGGUACUCCCCUCGAGCCCGUGACAACAGUCGCGAGGUCCCGGUAGACAUUCGUUACCCGGAGUGCUAACCGAAACCCCGCAAGGCUUUAGUGCCAUUUUUCUCAUCUCCCCUGUGAGUAAUCAUUGCCAAACCUCGUUUUUCAAGAAUUUUAAGCUUUUUCCCCUUCAAAAUCGUGAAAAAAUAAUUUUUGCCUCACAACGGCGUUUUCAUCAUUUUUCCUCGAAAUUUUUUCGAACCCAACUAAAAAUGUAGUAGAUGACUGGAAAACACAUAUUUCAUGAUUAAAAUAAAUUUGGGUGUUUAAAACAUUUAUUAAAAAUGAUAUUGCAACUAUUUGAAUAAAAUAAAAAUAUUCAAUAAAAUAUUCUAAUUUCUUGUAAAACAAUAUUUAUAGAGUCAUCGGUAAAUAAUUUUUGUAAUGUAAAAGCUAAAUAAAUUCAUACGUACUAUAAUACAGAUAACUUGGUUAUGAAAUUUACUUUACAGUGACUCGUGGGCCCACAAGGAACAAAAGUGCAUAAAGGCAGUAAACUUACAGUUUUUAGAGUAGUAAAGCUGACUAUAAUCCCUGACGAUAUCUACUAUCCACAAGCUACCUUGGGCCUGAAAUGGUUGAAAAGAAGGGUGGUGAGAUUAUAAAAUCUCAGUGAGUAAACAGAUACCAUCUAAACCAUCUAAAGUCGAGUAAAUUGAGACAAUUAAAAUAAGUCAUCAUAUUGUAAUUUCAUUACCUUUCAACUCAUUUCAACCAAAUAAAAUCAAUUCAUAUAAAUCGUGUAAUCAACAUGGCUUAUGAAUUUCUUAAAACUUUGGCUUGUGCCAAAACUCGUACUCGGUGAUACCUUGUGUCGAGCAUCCAACCGAGUCUGUCAAGGCUGUUAAAAAGUUAUGUACGCAUAAUUAUAUUUUUAUUUAGAAAACAUAGCCGUUCCUUGGCGUUGGCUGAGUUCUCCCUCACGUGGUGGUUUAACGUGAAGUGAACCCUAAACUUUACCCCAUGAGAUACCCUAUGCGCCUCUCCGAUCGAGGUAAGAAUAUGAUGGGGUUUACCGUGCCCCUCUAAAAGGUUGGUCCACAGAAACCCCUUACUGCAGUAACUAAUUAAUAUAUAAUCCACCAAUUCAAUAAAAUUUGUAAUAGCAUGACAUGGCAAUUAUUUUAUUUUGCAGCCUCUCAAGGCAAAUCAACAAUUCAUACAUUUUCAACACAUUUGCCAAUUCAACCAUUCAUGCCAAUAUUAUCAUAAGCCAUUCAAUUAGAAACAUAAUUUCACAAUACAUCAAAUGGUCUCCAAUUACUCUAUUUUCAAAGCCAUCAUUCAAUUUCUAGAUAAUUUUAUAAAAUCAUUUCAUUUAAUCACAUUUUUGUUUAUAAAACAUAAAGAUUUAUCAUUUAACCUCAUUUUCCAUAGAAUCACAAAAUCGGAUAAAAACCACUUUAGAUAAU